rnacentral:tRNA from 1 species
GCGCCUAUAGCUCAAUGGCAGAGCGCCUGAUUGUGGAUCAGGAGGUUACGGGUUCGAAACCCGUUAGGCGCCCCA